rnacentral:rRNA from 1 species
GACGAACGCUGGCGGCGUGCCUAACACAUGCAAGUCGAGCGAGUGAAUCUCCUUCGGGAGUGGAGCUAGCGGCGGACGGGUGAGUAACACGUGGGCAACCUGCCUCAUAGAGGGGAAUAGCCUUUCGAAAGGAAGAUUAAUACCGCAUAAGAUUGUAGCUUCGCAUGAAGUAGCAAUUAAAGGAGCAAUCCGCUAUGAGAUGGGCCCGCGGCGCAUUAGCUAGUUGGUGAGGUAACGGCUCACCAAGGCGACGAUGCGUAGCCGACCUGAGAGGGUGAUCGGCCACAUUGGGACUGAGACACGGCCCAGACUCCUACGGGAGGCAGCAGUGGGGAAUAUUGCACAAUGGGGGAAACCCUGAUGCAGCAACGCCGCGUGAGUGAUGUCGGCCUUCGGGUUGUAAAGCUCUGUCUUCAGGGACGAUAAUGACGGUACCUGAGGAGGAAGCCACGGCUAACUACGUGCCAGCCGCCGCAGUAACAC